ACUAGACAAGUUGUUAUAACACAUAACAUUAAUCACUUAUUCACAGCUAAAUAUUAGCCAAAGUGAUCAACUAAAAACUCUCAUAUCAUAUUGCAUUAUCAACAUUAUGGUAAGCACUUAGUUUUAAAACUCACAACCAAAGUACCUAUACACAUAUGUACCUAUAUACAUGAGUUCAAAGAUUCAACUUCUAAAAACUUAUUUACAUUCAUUCACAACCAUAUAACAAAAGACUAACACCCAAAACAUCAUCAACCUAAGUACAUGCCAAAACAUAAAAGAAAACAUCACCAAUAUUGAGUUCGAGAUUAGUCAUUGGAUGCUAAGUUGUCGAACAAAAUUAAGUACCUAUCCUGCAUACAAAGAACAAUCAAAUUCAAAGUAAGCUUAUUAACCCAAAGAACCAAAAAUAAAAAUAAUGGCUUUGAUUUUAUAAUCUGUCACAUAUAUAUAUUCAUGAAAUUUACCAUACAAUUCAACUAGACAUUUCAUACAUCUUUUAUGAAAACUUCCGUAUAUCAGCCUUCUUGUUGGAUUAAUUAUACCUGAUCAUUAUGGGUCAAUCAGUAAAUGGCACCCACUACCUAACGGAUAAACCAUAACAAAGUUUGGGCAUUGCGCUAGUCGGAUAACCGACGAUAGAUGUGCCGAGCACUAGUGGAAUGAAUCGACAACAUUUUGCGCCCAGCGCUAGUUUGUUGAACCAACGAAGAUUAAAGUGUGCCUAGCAUUAGUCGAAUGAAUCGACAAAAGUAUGCGCCCAGCACUAGUUGGAUAAUCGACAAUAUCAAUUUCACUUGUGCAAGUCCAUAAUAUCACAUUUUUUAAAUUCAAUAUCGCAUUUCAUAAUUCAAUACCACCUUCACUUCAAUUAUCUACGAAAUUAUUCAUUGAUUCAUUCUAUAAUGCCACAUUUCAUAUAUAUAUAAUUUUAUCAAUAUCCAUUCAAUAGAAAUUUUCCAGUACACAAUUAAGAACAUAGUUAAAUGAUAAUUAACAAUUAACUAAUUAAAUUAAAUAAUUAACGUUCGAGUUCUAAGACCGCGAACCUACUAAAAUUACGAUCAUAGACGAUUACUUGGCAACCUUCUCUUUUCCAUGAUUAUCAAUUGAUCCUCUUGUUUCUCGAUCUAAAAAUUUAUAAAUUAGUUUAAUUAACUAACUCAUCCACCAAGAAUAUAUAUAAACACAAGAAUUCAACCCCUUUUUAAUCAAAUUUUACACAUUUGUAUUCAACACUUCUCUUGUACAAUUCGAUCCUACCUCAAACCUUAAUUUUUUAAUUUCCUUGAAUUAAUUACCAGCUAACCAAAUCUAUACUAUACCCGAGCAGUCCCUUAAUCAUCGAAAAUUCAAUUUUAUCCCUAUUUUUUUAAUUUUGUAACAUUUAACUCCUUAAAGAUAAGUUCUAGCAAAAAUCAUUACACAAAAAUUAGUUGAAUCACACCACAAAAAUCAUUAAUACAUUCAAUACUUCAAAGCAUCAACAGUCUAAAAAAAAUCAAUUCUUAAACAUGUCACCAUUUUUCAAUUUGACCCCUAAUUUAGCUUGGUCUAGCUUUAAGGGUCCUAAAACUACAAAAAAGAAAUAUCAAAGAUAAGAGCUAAAACACUUACAUGCAAGGAGCUCACUGUACCGAACCUUGCUCUCCUCUCUAAUGGUGUUAUUUAUUUUUUCUUACUUUCGGUAAAACCAAAACACUUG
rnacentral:lncRNA from 1 species